AUCUCAUCACGAAUUAAUUACCCUUUACACUCUGCUUAUCUGACUUGUCAAUUUCCGUUAACUGUUUUUAGGUGUUUACUUAAUUGGGUUUAAUUAAUGACUAAAAGUUGUCAUGUACAUAUUUACAUACGCAUGUGGUACUCUGUUUGACGUCGUAGUCUGAAUCGGACCGUCUGAUAUAUAUUUAUAUUUGGACAUAUCCCCAUUCUCCGCUGGAAGUUGCCACGAGAGUGAAAAUCCACCCCCAACCCGGACAUAAUUGGAGGAGAACACGUACAACACAUUUUCGCCAAAGACAAACUCCCCAUCAAUUCCUUCAAGGUCACAGUACCUGCAAUAUUACAACAGUUUUGCAGAAAUCACCAUUACAUAACUCGUCGACGUCGACGCAAAAUUGCCUACUUAAACCGGAUACGUAUUUCAUUAAAAUUAUACGAGAUGUAUGUACAUAACAUGUAUUUAAAAAUCAGAGGUUGACGCCGCCGACAGCAUUUUACGCACAAAAAAAUCUGGUAUCCUAUUCCUUCAACAUUGGAGCGCCGACACUGCCGAAAAAUCACAAAAAUUGGCCGCCGUCGCCGCAAAAUUUGUCGGCUUCGACCUCUGAUAUAAAUACGUGGCCUAUUUAUUUACCUCACCCUAGCUCUCCACCCUUGAAAAUAGUUAAAGUCGUACGCCCACACCCAAUCGUAACAAUUAUCCAUCCCGUACGAUUGCCACUUGUAUCUCACAAAACGAUCUCGAACGAACUUAAAGUCUGGCGUGGCGACGACAAAGACGGACAGCUCGUCGUCAUUGUACAUCUCACAUGGCAAGUUGUCAGGAUGUGUCACAUUCCCCCCACCAUUAAUUUCCCAAUCUGCGGAAGAAAUAUAAUCCCGGGAAAGAUCCGAAACGUCGGCUGAAUCUCCCAUUCCGAUCCAAUCUAACAUAAAACCCUUUCCAUUUCCGUUUGCACUAGUGGAAGCGAACAUUACGACGGCAACGUUUCCGAACAUCGUAACGUUUGUAGUUCCGGGUUUC